rnacentral:tRNA from 1 species
GGAUUUAGCUCAGUGGUAGAGCACUUGCCUACCAAGCACAAGGCCCUGGGUUCGGUCUCCAGAUCCG